rnacentral:lncRNA from 1 species
GUGUCCUUGCAGAUGAUGGAGCACGAGCCUCUCUGAGGUCAAGCAUCACUCACAAGGGCCCUAGAUACACAAUGGCAGGGUCCCUAUCUCAGGGAACUAUUUUGCUGUUGCUCUAUCUCUAUAACCUUGGGUCAGUGACUGCCUCUGAGUUUUCGGUUUUCACUACUCAGUGUAAAAGCCCUCCUUAUCAGGUCGUUGCCAGUGUGUCCUGAGCUGGUGAUGUCGACACUUACCACGAAUGCCUGGGAGAUGACAAGUCCUCCCUUGAGAAAGGCUUCAGGAUGUUCCCCACCUCCAAGCCAGGCACCUCAUUCCUCCCACUGCUUCUGGACCCCUGGCCCUGCUCCUCUGGUGUCUGAUCUGCCUUCUGGAGAUGGCCCAUCUGAGAUUUCUCAAGCCUGGGAACACUGAUGCUCCUGCUGUGGGACCUGCCCCUAGACCAUCUCACCAAGCCCUUCCUGCCCAGAGCGUCAGGGCACUGGCAGGUGCCUAGAGUAGGUGUUUGAUAAACACAACUAGUGUCACUGGAAGCCUGAACCCUCCUCCCUUUGAAUCCCAUCCUGACACUGGGGCCUACUGAUCAAGCCCACCAGUGUCCAGCACUCUGAAGAGAAAUUACAAACUUUGGAAAUAAGGUGGGGAGGGACCCUUAGCGGAAUCACAUUUGUAGCUAACCUCUGGGGAACAUCUCUCUGGCUUAGUUCACUGUGGAAACCUGGUUCCUAUGCAGAAAUUCUUUUUUUAAGAGCGAGCAGAGCAUGUGUAUGUGCAUGUGCCUAUGCACAUUUUGGGGUGGGAGAGAGGGAGAAAAUUGUAGGCAGACUCCAUGCUAAGCUUGGAGCCCAACAAAGGGCUUGAUCUCACAACACUGAGAUCAUGACAUGAGUCAAAGAUAAGAGUUAGAUGCUUAGCUGACUGAGCCACUCAGGGGCUCCUAUACCGAAUUUUGGAGUGAGCACUGGGAAAGGGUAAGCAUGUCUGGAG